rnacentral:tRNA from 1 species
GGUUGUAGCUCAGUGGUAGAGCACUUGCCUAGCAUGUGUGAGGCCCUGGGUUCAAUCCCCAACACCA